GGGGUUGUGGCUCAGUGGUAGAACGCUUGCCUAGGAUGCAUGAGGCACUGGGUUCAAUUCCCAACAUCACAU
rnacentral:tRNA from 1 species